rnacentral:rRNA from 1 species
GACGAACGCUGGCGGCGUGCUUAACACAUGCAAGUCGAAUGGUAAGGCCCUUCGGGGUACACGAGUGGCGAACGGGUGAGUAACACGUGGGUGAUCUGCCCUGCACUUCGGGAUAAGCCUGGGAAACUGGGUCUAAUACCGGAUAGGACCCUGGGAUGCAUGUCCUGGGGUGGAAAGCUUUUGCGGUGUGGGAUGGGCCCGCGGCCUAUCAGCUUGUUGGUGGGGUGAUGGCCUACCAAGGCGACGACGGGUAGCCGGCCUGAGAGGGUGACCGGCCACACUGGGACUGAGAUACGGCCCAGACUCCUACGGGAGGCAGCAGUGGGGAAUAUUGCACAAUGGGCGCAAGCCUGAUGCAGCGACGCCGCGUGAGGGAUGACGGCCUUCGGGUUGUAAACCUCUUUCAGCACCGACGAAGCGCGAGUGACGGUAGGUGCAGAAGAAGGACCGGCCAACUACGUGCCAGCAGCCGCAGUAA